CCGGACCUACGGGGGGCAGCAGUGGGGAAUAUUGCACAAUGGGGGAAACCCUGAUGCAGCGACGCCGCGUGAAGGACGAAGCAUUUCUGUACGUAAACUUCUAUCUGCAGGGAAGAAAAUGACGGUACCUGACCAAGAAGCCCCGGCUAACUACGUGCCAGCAGCCGCGGUAAUCCGUAGGGGGCAAGCGUUAUCCGGAUUUACUGGGUGUAAUGGGAGCGUAGACGGCCGUGCAAGUCUGAUGUGAAAACCCGGGGCUCAACCCCGGGACUGCAUUGGAAACUGCAUGUCU
rnacentral:rRNA from 1 species